GCGCCCGUAACUCAAUGGUGAGAGUACCCGCCUUAUAUGCGGUUAGUUGCAGGUUCGACUCCUGCCGGGCGCA
rnacentral:tRNA from 1 species